ensembl:rRNA 5S_rRNA 5S ribosomal RNA
UGUCACUUCCAUAUCACUCUGCUGCCCACGACCGGUUACUCACUGAAGCUAAACAGGGCUGAGCCUGGUUAGUACCUGGAUGGGAGACCACAUGAGAAGACUAGGUUGCUGUUCAAA